rnacentral:rRNA from 1 species
UAAAGCGCGCGUAGGUGGCCCUGUAAGUCCGUUGUGAAAGUCAAAGGCUCAACCUUUGAAUGCCGAUGGAUACUGCAGGGCUAGAGUACGGAAGAGGCGAGUGGAAUUCCUGGUGUAGCGGUGGAAUGCGCAGAUAUCAGGAGGAACACCAAUAGCGAAGGCAGCUCGCUGGGACGUUACUGACACUAAGGCGCGAAAGCGUGGGGAGCGAACAGGAUUAGAUACCCUGU